AGAGAGGAGAGAGAGGCUUGGGCAUUCCCUCACAUUCCACUUGACAGAUCUGCGCGGUGAAGCUGCUGCUCCUGGAGUGAGUGGAAGAAAGACAUUUCUCCUCCGCGCUUGAGGAGGAUUCAUCACGAGAACAUAAUGCAGGAGGAUGGCAAGGUGGUGGAUGGCAGUCUGCUGGGUGAUGCCAAUGGGGUGGAGCCUGGCACAGGCCGACAGAAGGAGAGCGGCAAAUGGCAGAGGCCUCGAUUCACACGGAAAGCCCUCAUGAGGUGCUGCCUGGUCAAAUGGAUCAUCGCCAGCACCGGACCCAAAGAGCAAGUUGCAGUGAAGGAUGACUGAAGCAUUCCAGUAUCCAACAAAAUCGAAAACUGUCAGACACAAUGUUAACAUGAAGAUGACAUCAGACAAAGUACGUUCGUAAUUGCACUCCUCUGGCUGAGCAAAAAUUAUUUUCAGGUUUCUCGUGUAACUUGUGCUCUGAUUGGUUCACUAUUACAUCCUUGAUACUUAUGCAGUUUGUGUGCUUGUGUGGUACAUACAUAGCUAAAACAUUAUAAAUCAAGCUAGCAUGCAAAAGUCCAUCAACAUUUAUGCAAACAACUCAUUUUUGAAAUCCUAACCGGCCAGUUAUUAAAUGGCAGGACCAAGCAUCUGAUAGCAUUGCUUCACCUGCAAAAAAACCCGGAAAUGUCAUCCAUUUAGAUGCAAAUGGGAAGAGAAAUGUUUAUGGCUAAGAUAUAAGACCGUCAUCUGAGAAAAGUGUUUUGCUCGCACUGUGUACAAUAAGUUUGGGACAAAAGCUUAAAGUGGUUUAUACAACUCUUUCGCUAGAAGUCAUAUGAUAGCUUUCU